rnacentral:rRNA from 2 species
UACGAAGGGGGCUAGCGUUGUUCGGAUUUACUGGGCGUAAAGCGCGUGUAGGCGGAUUUGUAAGUUGGGGGUGAAAUCCCGAGGCUCAACCUCGGAACUGCCUCCAAAACUACAAGUCUGGACCUAAGUAGAGGCAAGUGGAAUUGCGAGUGUAGAGGUGAAAUUCGUAGAUAUUCGCAGGAACACCAGUGGCGAAGGCGACUUGCUGGACUUAUGGUGACGCUGAGACGCGAAAGCGUGGGGAGCAAACAGG